GGCGAACGGGUGAGUAAAGUAUCGGAACGUACCUUUCAGUGGGGGAUAACGUAGCGAAAGUUACGCUAAUACCGCAUAUUCUGUGAGCAGGAAAGCAGGGGAUCGCAAGACCUUGCGCUGAUUGAGCGGCCGAUAUCAGAUUAGCUAGUUGGUGAGGUAAAGGCUCACCAAGGCGACGAUCUGUAGCGGGUCUGAGAGGAUGAUCCGCCACACUGGAACUGAGACACGGUCCAGACUCCUACGGGAGGCAGCAGUGGGGAAUUUUGGACAAUGGGGGCAACCCUGAUCCAGCCAUGCCGCGUGAGUGAAGAAGGCCUUCGGGUUGUAAAGCUCUUUCGGCCGGGAAGAAAUCGUAUGGGUUAAUACCCUGUGCGGAUGACGGUACCGGCAUAAGAAGCACCGGCUAACUACGUGCCAGCAGCCGCGGUAAUACGUAGGGUGCGAGCGUUAAUCGGAAUUACGGGGCGUAAAGCGUGCGCAGGCGGUUUUGUAAGACAGGCGUGAAAUCCCCGGGCUCAACCUGGGAACUGCGCUUGUGACUGCAAGGCUAGAGUAUGGCAGAGGGGGGUGGAAUUCCACGUGUAGCAGUGAAAUGCGUAGAGAUGUGGAGGAACACCAAUGGCGAAGGCAGCCCCCUGGGCCAAUACUGACGCUCAUGCACGAAAGCGUGGGUAGCGAACAGGAUUAGAUACCCUGGUAGUCCACGCCCUAAACGAUGUCAACUAGGUGUUGGGUGGGUAAAACCAUUUAGUACCGGAGCUAACGCGUGAAGUUGACCGCCUGGGGAGUACGGCCGCAAGGUUAAAACUCAAAGGAAUUGACGGGGACCCGCACAAGCGGUGGAUGAUGUGGAUUAAUUCGAUGCAACGCGAAAAACCUUACCUACCCUUGACAUGUCCAGGAGCCUGAAGAGAUUUGGGUGUGCCCGAAAGGGAACUGGAACACAGGUGCUGCAUGGCUGUCGUCAGCUCGUGUCGUGAGAUGUUGGGUUAAGUCCCGCAACGAGCGCAACCCUUGUCGUUAAUUGCCAUCAUUUAGUUGGGCACUUUAACGAGACUGCCGGUGACAAACCGGAGGAAGGUGGGGAUGACGUCAAGUCCUCAUGGCCCUUAUGGGUAGGGCUUCACACGUCAUACAAUGGUCGGUACAAAGGGUUGCCAACCCGCGAGGGGGAGCCAAUCCCAGAAAGCCGAUCGUAGUCCGGAUCGCAGGCUGCAACUCGCCUGCGUGAAGUCGGAAUCGCUAGUAAUCGUGGAUCAGCAUGUCACGGUGAAUACGUUCCCGGGUCUUGUACACACCGCCCGUCACACCAUGGGAGCGGGUUCCGCCAGAAGUAGGUAGCCUAACCGCAAGGGGGGCGCUUACCACGGCGGGGUUCGUGACUGGGGUGAAGUCGG
rnacentral:rRNA from 1 species